rnacentral:rRNA from 1 species
CAGCCGCCGCGGGAAUACAGAGGGUGCAAGCGUUAAUCUGAAUUACUGGGCGUAAAGCGCGCGUAGGUGGUUUGUUAAGUUGGAUGUGAAAGCCCCGGGCUCAACCUGGGAACUGCAUCCAAAACUGGCAAGCUAGAGUACGGUAGAGGGUGGUGGAAUUUCCUGUGUAGCGGUGAAAUGCGUAGAUAUAGGAAGGAACACCAGUGGCGAAGGCGACCACCUGGACUGAUACUGACACUGAGGUGCGAAAGCGUGGGGAGCAAACAGGAUUAGAUACCCCCGUAGUCCCUGUCUCUUAUAC